rnacentral:rRNA from 1 species
UACAGGGGGUGCAAACGUUGCUCGGAAUUAUUGGGCGUAAAGCGCGCGUAGGCGGUUGCUUAUGUCGGAUGUGAAAGCCCUCGGCUUAACUGAGGAAGUGCAUCCGAAACUGGGCAGCUAGAGUACGAAAGAGGGUCGCGGAAUUCCCGGUGUAGAGGUGAAAUUCGUAGAUAUCGGGAGGAACACCGGCGGCGAAGGCGGCGACCUGGGUCGAGACUGACGCUGAGGCGCGAAAGCGUGGGGAGCAAACAGG